rnacentral:rRNA from 1 species
AACGAACGCUGGCGGCGCGCCUAAUACAUGCAAGUCGAGCGAGAAGACGUAGCCAAUACGUUUGUAAAGCGGCGAACGGGUGAGGAAUACAUGGGUAACCUACCCUCGAGUGGGGGAUAACUAGCCGAAAGGUUAGCUAAUACCGCGUACGCUCCUUGGACUUCGGUUCGAGGGAGGAAAGCGAUACCGUGGGUAUCGCGCUCUUGGAUGGGCUCAUGUCCUAUCAGCUUGUUGGUGAGGAACGGCUCACCAAGGCUUCGACGGGUAGCUGGUCUGAGAGGACAAUCAGCCACACUGGCACUGCGAC